GAUGAACGCUGGCGGCGUGCCUAAUACAUGCAAGUCGAGCGAACGGACGAGAAGCUUGCUUCUCUGAUGUUAGCGGCGGACGGGUGAGUAACACGUGGAUAACCUACCUAUAAGACUGGGAUAACUUCGGGAAACCGGAGCUAAUACCGGAUGAUAUUUUGAACCGCAUGGUUCAAAAGUGAAAGACGGUCUUGCUGUCACUUAUAGAUGGAUCCGCGCUGCAUUAGCUAGUUGGUAAGGUAACGGCUUACCAAGGCAACGAUGCAUAGCCGACCUGAGAGGGUGAUCGGCCACACUGGAACUGAGACACGGUCCAGACUCCUACGGGAGGCAGCAGUAGGGAAUCUUCCGCAAUGGGCGAAAGCCUGACGGAGCAACGCCGCGUGAGUGAUGAAGGUCUUCGGAUCGUAAAACUCUGUUAUUCGGGAAGAACAUAUGUGUAAGUAACUGUGCACAUCUUGACGGUACCUAACCAGAAAGCCACGGCUAACUACGUG
rnacentral:rRNA from 1 species